UACGUAGGGUCCGAGCGUUGUCCGGAAUUAUUGGGCGUAAAGGGCUCGUAGGCGGUUUGUCGCGUCGGGAGUGAAAACACCGGGCUUAACUCGGUGCUUGCUUUCGAUACGGGCAGACUAGAGGUAUUCAGGGGAGAACGGAAUUCCUGGUGUAGCGGUGAAAUGCGUAGAUAUCGGGAGGAACACCAGUGGCGAAGGCGGCGAUCUGGGCAGUUACGUGACGCUGAGGUGCGAAAGCGUGGGGAGCAAACAGGGAUU
rnacentral:rRNA from 1 species